GAAUAAUAAGGUAUAAUAUAGUAGCUGAUUACAAAUAAGUAUAAAUAGUAGCAAAUAUCUCCAUUUUCUUGUAUUUGGAUUUUUCAGUAAUGCUGAAGAAUAUUUUAUGUAAAUUACCAUGAAAAAAAAGUUAAUGAACCUUACUGUAGCAAAUAUGUGAUGGCCAGGAGGUUGUGGGAUGUCAGGAGUCAGAAAAUUGUUCGAACAUCUGAGACCAAGUCAUCUGUGACAAGCGCAGAAGUCAGUGCCGAUAGCUCCACUGUCAGUUUCUGGGAUGAUUAAGAUUCUAAUUGAGUUGUUUGUACUAUUUUCUCUUUGAAACCUGCACAAUUAAACAAUAGUUUUCCUUGUUAAGUUGUUAUAGUUAUACAUUCUUGCCUUGCAAUGUGUAAUCACUGUUACUGGAACCAAAGAAUGGUAACAAGUUCAUAGCAGCUGGAGACGACGUGUGGAUCCAUAUGUUUCAGUUUUAUACAGGCUAAACAAUUGGAUGCAGCAAGGUCAUCACGGUCCUGUGCAUCGUGUAAGAUUUGCACCACUAGGGGAAUCAUAUACUUCUGGUUCUGAAGAUAGAAACACAAGAAUAUGGCAGACAGAUCAAUUCUCAUACAACAGGAACGUCUAAUUUGGACCAUAUUAUUUCUUCAAAUUCCUCCCAGCCUAGUGCCGGUUCAAUUUUUCAAUUACUCCAUUAUAUUAUGUUAAGUUGUUAGUUAUCAUAAAAUCUCAGGUUGCUAGACUUAGGAUGAGGGCAUACUUAGGGGGUGUUUGGAUGAUUGGUGGGAAGGGAAUGUGAAUGAGGGGUAUGGGAAUGGAGGGUAUGGGAAAUGGUAACCCAAGGAGUGUGGAGGUAUUGAUUUACCCUUCAAGAGGGAAUGAGGUUCUCAUUCCAAGCAAAAAUUUUACCAAUCCAAACACAAUGUAUGGGUAUUAGGUUCCGAUUCCCGUUAACCGGUCUCAUUAACCAUCAACCAAACGCCCCCUUAGAUCACCUUGUAUAUCAUAACAUUUUCUUCUUUUUUUAGUUUUGCUGAUAUUUAUACACGUCAAAGUGAAAGAAAUCGAACAAAUGAAGAUAUAAUGUAGUUCUUAAUCUCAAUGGGUAAGGAAAAGGCCGUGCUGCUUAGGGAAUGAGAAAUCAGUUUACCUUUGUUUACAGAUUAAAAUUAGUUAUUAUUCGAGCAUGGCAAAAAAGACAUUGAUAUUUGAUCUAGUGAAUAUUAAGUUGCAGGAAGUUUGGGUAUCUGUUAUUUACCAAUUCUUGAAAACUUGAGAAGUUGAAGGUCUCAGAUGGUCACUCUGCGAGACUCCAUACAAACACGAGCAUGUGUUUUUUUUUGCAUAGUCUUGACGAGCAAAAAUAUCGCACAGAGACAGAGGUGUAGGAAAUUUCACCUUCAUUUUGUCGAAUGUCUAAAUUUAAAUUGAAUCUGCGGAUCUGUUAUAGUCUGGUCAUUUUAUAAGUCAUGGCUAUAAAUUUGGUCUUUGAUUUCUUUGUUAUAA